rnacentral:rRNA from 1 species
GACGAACGCUGGCGGCGUGCCUAAUACAUGCAAGUAGAACGCUGAAGGAGGAGCUUGCUCUUCUGGAUGAGUUGCGAACGGGUGAGUAACGCGUAGGUAACCUGCCUGGUAGCGGGGGAUAACUAUUGGAAACGAUAGCUAAUACCGCAUAACAGUAGAUGUUGCAUGACAUUUACUUAAAAGGUGCAAUUGCAUCACUACCAGAUGGACCUGCGUUGUAUUAGCUAGUUGGUGGGGUAACGGCUCACCAAGGCGACGAUACAUAGCCGACCUGAGAGGGUGAUCGGCCACACUGGGACUGAGACACGGCCCAGACUCCUACGGGAGGCAGCAGUAGGGAAUCUUCGGCAAUGGACGGAAGUCUGACCGAGCAACGCCGCGUGAGUGAAGAAGGGUUUCGGAUCGUAAAGCUCUGUUGUAAGAGAAGAAAGAGUGUGAGAGUGGAAAGUUCACACUGUGACGGUAUCUUACCAGAAAGGGACGGCUAACUACGUG